rnacentral:ncRNA from 2 species
AGCAGUGACACGGGGUGCCGCACGCGCGGCUGAGAUCACACCCGUCGAACCUGAUCUAGUUCGUACUAGCGAAGGGAAUGUCGCGCAUGAGCGAU